UGACUGAACAAUGUUAUAUAACACGAACACGUCAGGUAUUUGAUCGUUCUCUUAGAGCACUUCCCAUCACUCAGCAUCAUCGUAUAUGGCCAUUAUAUAUUAAUUUCUUAAAGAAACAUAAUGUUUAUGAGACUGCUGUCAGGGUCUUUAGAAGAUAUUUAAAGGUAAGAACACUAAUAUAUUUAAUAAUACUAAUAUUUGUAACAAUUUAUAUUAUAAUUAAUACUAUUAUAUAUUUGUCAUGUUUUUGAUUAAUAUAAAUAUACACAUUAAGAGUUGAGAAAACUUUGUUUUUGGCAAAAGUUUUAUUAUGUAUAUAUUUUAUUUUAUCUGUUUUAUAUAAAUUUAUAUAUAUGUAUAUGUAUUUUGUAUAUAUGUAUAGUAAGAUACAGAAGAUACAGAAGAAUAUAUCGAAUAUCUAAUAUCAGUUGGUAGACUUGAUGAGGGUGCUAUAAAACUUGCACAGAUUGUUAAUUUUGUAUCAUUUGUAUCAAAACACGGAAAAUCUAAUCAUCAAUUAUGAAAUGAAUUAUGUGAUUUAAUAUCAAAAAAUCCUGCUAAAAUAAAGUCCCUGAAUGUAGAUGCUAUUAUUAGAGGUGGAUUAAGACGUUAUACAGAUCAAUUGGGACCUUUAUGGAAUUCACUAGCAGAUUACUAUGUUUGAAGUGGUCUUUUUGAGAGGGCAAGAGAUAUUUAUGAAGAAGCUAUACAAACUGUUACUACAGUCAGAGAUUUUACUCAAGUUUUUGAUGCUUAUGCACAAUUUGGAGAACUUAGUCUUAAAAAACUUAUAGAAGAAGCAGCAAAAAAUCCCACUGAAGAAGAUGAUAUAAAAUUAGAAUUGAGACUAGCAUGAUUGGAACAUCUUAUGGAAAGGAGAUUAUUGUUACUCAAUUCUGUAUUAUUACGACAAAAUCCACAUAAUGUAGCAGAAUGGCACAAAAGAAUUAAGCUUUAUGAAGGGCAA